rnacentral:rRNA from 1 species
CGUGGGGCCGAAGCGUUGUUCGGAUUUACUGGGCGUAAAGGCGCGUAGGCGGCGAAUCGAGUCAGCUGUGAAAUCUCCGAGCUUAACUCGGAACGGUCAGCUGAUACUGUUUUGCUAGAGUGCAGAAAGGGCAACCGGAAUUCUUGGUGUAGCGGUGAAAUGCGUAGAUAUCAAGAGGAACACCUGAGGCGAAGGCGGGUUGCUAGGCUGACACUGACGCUGAAGCGCGAAAGCUAGGGUAGCAAACGGGAUUAGAUACCCCGGUAGUCCUAGCCCUAAACGAUGUAGGCUUGGUGUCUGGAGUUUUUAUCUCUGGGUGCCGUCGCUAACGCUUUUAGCAUACCGCCUGGGGAGUACGCACGCAAGUGUG